UUAAAAAAAGAGAGAGAGAACGGGUACUCGUGUCUUCACUAGGUGAGUCACAACACUUCCUUGCAUACAAAAGUUCAAACUGCAUUGCUCAGGAAAAUGCAUCUUACACAUUUCCAAACCUGCUUUGCUAAUCUGGUGCUGGACAGCAGGCAAAAUAUAAAAUUAAUUCCAUAAGCUGCUUCAUACCCUCUCUAGAAAAAAUCCGAUUGUAACUUUGAAUUGGAUUUUGUACCUUAAUCUAGUGGCAAAUAAUUACUUCUGUAUCUUGCAUAACUUUGUUCUGUGCUUCAUUUCCUAUUGUCUGGUGGUCAGGUGUCUUGGGAACAAAGGAAGCAUCUUUUCAUAGUUUCCAGUGCAAAUUGUUUCCAGUACAGGUUGUAACAGGAUAUAUACUGCACAAUUAUAUACAAAUGACUUCAAUGGCUCUUAUUCCCAGCUAAGUGGAUAAAGAGUGUAGCCAUAGAUUUUCUCCGCUUAAUAAAAAGGAAGUCUAUAUUAAGAACAAGUUCCUCUGUCCUUUAAAAUUAUGCUCAUUUUCUUCUUGGUUAAAAUAUGGAAAGUAAACAAAACAAUUUUCACCAGCCAUUUAAAAGGGGUUAUUUAAUAUAAAUGUUAUUUCAUAUGACGUAAAACCACUUCUAGAAAUCUUAACAGGAUAAAGCGCAAGUUAAGCACCCAUUUCCAUGUUCUUAUCUCCCAGGGGCCAAAAUCUGUUUCACACUGAGCUGCCAAGCAGAGUAGCAGGCCAUCACCUGGCCAGAGCCUCCCACCUCCAAUCUGCUCAGCCAUUCACAAAAAUAUGGUUGCAGGCACCCCAGUCUCCAAGUGGCAAGAGACUCCAGGGAUUUCAGUUUCCUUGGGAAAAAGAAACACCAUGAUGCAGCUGUAGCAUCACAGCCUGAUGUCUUCAUCUGCCCCAGCUGCAACAAACAUGUCUCUCCUGUCUCUGUCUCUAUAGCAACAGCAGACGCUGUAACCCAUGGGUAGGCAAACGAAGGCCCAAUAGCCUUCUAAAUCCGGCCCGCGGACGGUCCGGGAAGCAGCGUGUUUUUACAUGAGUAGAAUGUGCCCUUUUAUUUAAAAUGCAUCUCUGGGUUAUUUGUGGGGCAUAGGAAUUCUUUCUUUUUUUUUCCUUUCCAAAAUAUAGUCUGGCCCCCCACAAGGUCUGAGGGACAGUGGACCAGCCCCCUGCUGAAAAGGUUUGCUGACCCCUGCUGUAACCUUCCAACAGUUUAACUUCACUUCCCCAAAGGCACAGUCCUCCAUUCUCUCCAGAGACAAAUGUAUGCCAACAAAUCCUCACUGGGAGGUGGGAAAAGAUCCCACCCAUACAUCUCUAU